GCGCCGGUGGCUCAGCCUGGAUAGAGCGUUCGGUUCCUAACCGAAACGUCGUGGGUCCGAAUCCCACCCGGCGCG
rnacentral:tRNA from 2 species